rnacentral:rRNA from 1 species
UAGGGAAUCUUCCACAAUGGACGCAAGUCUGAUGGAGCAACGCCGCGUGAGUGAAGAAGGUUUUCGGACCGUAAAGCUCUGUUGUUGGUGAAGAAGGAUAGAGGUAGUAACUGGCCUUUAUUUGACGGUAAUCAACCAGAAAGUCACGGCUAACUACGUGCCAGCAGCCGCGGUAAUACGUAGGUGGCAAGCGUUGUCCGGAUUUAUUGGGCGUAAAGCGAGCGCAGGCGGAAGAAUAAGUCUGAUGUGAAAGCCCUCGGCUUAACCGAGGAAUUGCAUCGGAAACUGUUUUCUUGAGUGCAGAAGAGGAGAGUAGAACUCCAUGUGUAGCGGUGGAAUGCGUAGAUAUAUGGAAGAAUACCAGUGGCGAAGGCGGCUCUCUG